rnacentral:rRNA from 1 species
CCUACGGGCGGCAGCAGUGGGGAAUAUUGGACAAUGGGCGCAAGCCUGACGCAGCAACGCCGCGUGAGUGAAGAAGGCUUUCGGGUUGUAAACUUCUUUUCUCAGGGACGAAGGAAGUGACGGUACCUAAGGAAUAAGCCACGGCUAACUGCGUGCCAGCAGCCGCGGUAAUACGUAGGUGGCAAGCGUUAUCCGGAUUUACUGGGUGUAAAGGGCGUGUAGGCGGGGAGGCAAGUCAGAUGUGAAAACCACGGGCUCAACCUGUGGCCUGCAUUUGAAACUGUUGUUCUUGAGUACUGUAGAGGCAGACAGAAUUCCUGGUGUAGCGGUGAAAUGCGUAGAGAUUAGGAGGAACACCAGUGGCGAAGGCGGUCUGCUGGACAGCAACUGACGCUGAGGCGCGAAAGCGUGGGGAGCAAACAGGAUUAGAUACCCCAGUAGUC